CUAACAAGGAUUCCCCCAGUAACGGCGAGUGAAGCGGGACCAGCUCAAAUUUGAAAUCUCCGAUGCCUGCAUCGGCGAGUUGUAGUUGCGAGAAGCACUUUCUAGGUGGAUCGGUCGUGCCUAAGUUGCUUGGAACAGCACGUCGCAGAGGGUGACAACCCCGUCUGUGGCGCGGCCGGCCGCCGACGAUGUGCUUUCGAAGAGUCGGGUUGUUUGGGAAUGCAGCCCAAAAUGGGUGGUAAACUCCAUCUAAAGCUAAAUACUGGCGUGAGACCGAUAGCGAACAAGUACCGUGAGGGAAAGAUGAAAAGAACUUUGAAAAGAGAGUUAAAAAGUACGUGAAACCGUUAAAAGGGAAACGAAUGGACUCAGCAAUGCGCCGUUUGAGAUUCAGCCGGUGGGUGGAAUCGGCCCGGGGUUUGCGGAUCCGAACGGACCGCGGUCUCGGGCUCGUUUCUCCCCGCCGUCGCACUUCUCUUGGGCGCGCGUCAACGUCGGUUGGGACUGGGUCUGAAAGUCGCCGGGAAGGUAGGUCUGGCAGCCCGGCCUCUCAUGGCUCGUGCCCGACCGAGGAGUCGCAGCGCAUGCCUCUUGUGGCUAGGGUCCCGUCCUUCCGGCCGACUGUCGAAUGCGGUGGACUGCUUGCAGUGCUCCGCGACUGCUGCCGGUCGUUGGGGUGGUGAUCUCGUACCAUGCGCUUGGGAUGUUGGCGGUCAUAUGGGUCC
rnacentral:rRNA from 2 species